rnacentral:rRNA from 1 species
UACAGAGGUCCCGAGCGUUGUUCGGAUUUACUGGGCGUAAAGGGCGCGUAGGCGGUCUUGCAAGUCCCGUGUGAAAUCCCUCGGCUCAACUGAGGAACUGCACGGGAAACUGCUUGGCUUGAGUUCGGGAGAGGGAAGCGGAAUUCCGGGUGUAGCGGUGAAAUGACGUAGAUAUCGAGAGGAACACCUGCGGCGAAGGCGGGUUGCUGGGCUGAUACUGACGCUGAGGCGCGAAAGCUAGGGGAGCGAACGGG